AGAGUUUGAUCCUGGCUCAGAGCGAACGCUGGCGGCAGGCUUAACACAUGCAAGUCGAGCGGGCGUAGCAAUACGUCAGCGGCAGACGGGUGAGUAACGCGUGGGAACGUACCUUUUGGUUCGGAACAACACAGGGAAACUUGUGCUAAUACCGGAUAAGCCCUUACGGGGAAAGAUUUAUCGCCGAAAGAUCGGCCCGCGUCUGAUUAGCUAGUUGGUGAGGUAACGGCUCACCAAGGCGACGAUCAGUAGCUGGUCUGAGAGGAUGAUCAGCCACAUUGGGACUGAGACACGGCCCAAACUCCUACGGGAGGCAGCAGUGGGGAAUAUUGGACAAUGGGCGCAAGCCUGAUCCAGCCAUGCCGCGUGAGUGAUGAAGGCCCUAGGGUUGUAAAGCUCUUUUGUGCGGGAAGAUAAUGACGGUACCGCAAGAAUAAGCCCCGGCUAACUUCGUGCCAGUAGCCGCGGUAAUACGAAGGGGGCUAGCGUUGCUCGGAAUCACUGGGCGCAAAGGGUGCGUAGGCGGGUCUUUAAGUCAGGGGUGAAAUCCUGGAGCUCAACUCCAGAACUGCCUUUGAUACUGAGGAUCUUGAGUCCGGGAGAGGUGAGUGGAACUGCGAGUGUAGAGGUGAAAUUCGUAGAUAUUCGCAAGAACACCAGUGGCGAAGGCGGCUCACUGGCCCGGUACUGACGCUGAGGCACGAAAGCGUGGGGAGCAAACAGGAUUAGAUACCCUAGUAGUCC
rnacentral:rRNA from 1 species